CCCUGCCCACAGCAGGGGAGUUGGAAUGAGAUGAUUUUUGAGGUUUCUUCCAACCUAAACCACUGUAUGAUUCUAUGAUGCUAAAGUUUGCUUUCCUUUAUUACUGUCAUAUCAGCCUCCAAAUUGCAGCUACUGCUCUACAUCAAAACAUAUCACAGUAAUCUAAAAGGAUAGUGAUGCAUCAGGCCUCUGCUGUUAGUUUUUCAUACAAAUCUGCAGCAUGGCUGUAUAAACCUUUUCUCUGGAGUUGGAGAUUGUUCUGCACAGUUGUUGUCCUGAAAAGGGAUACAUUCCUUCGAACUUUGACCUGACAGCAGUUUUUCACCUCAAACUCUGCUGGCUGAUAUUGCCCACAGCUCUCCAGGUAAUGUGGUUCAUUGCACAUCUCUCAACACCUCACAGCAGUCCAGUCCAGUCCACACACACACACACACGGUUAACAAGUGCUAGGUAGCAAAAUAGAAAUAUGUGGUCCCUUCUGAGCCUCUGAGAUGCUUCUGCUUAUAAACUAGUCUUUCUGAUGGUCAGAGUGUUUUCCAGGCAUCUCUGUGAAUAAACAUGCUUUUCUGCAGGUAUCCUGCAAAAUAUCCAUUUCUCUCACUUUUCUGAGAGUCUGGAAUUACAGCCUUCACUUGCUGUUAAACAACAUUCAGGAUAAAACAUUUCCUGGCAAUUCAACUAUUAUAAACUAUAUAUAAAGGGCCAAGAAGAACUGGAAACAGCUUUGUUUGACCCCUGUCCAAUGUCCCAGUAGGCAAGACAGACAGAAAUGAGCUGGGCUGAUAUGCAGCUAUAGUAGAGAUCAAUCAAAAGGACAAAGGAGUUGUCUAAUUUUCUGUGAAACAAGGUCAAAAUGUUUGGUUAUUGUGAUUUAGGAAAUAUAGCUCUCUAAAAAAUGGGGGAAAUAUUUUCAGAUGUGUGCAUUUGAAGUAUUAUACAAUAGACUACAAUUACUAAUAUAUACAUUAUCAUAAGUAAAAUGAAAACAUACACUUCUGUGCUGACUAAUCUGAGAUAGUUGUCUUAGAUGUUAUUAAACAACAGCUGUAAAAACUGACCAACUUCUUAUGCAUUAAAAUAAUGUUUUCAGGACAUGCUUAAAAGAUUUACAGACAGCACAUACAUGCCUGUAAAUUUCUGGACUGUAAUUAAGAAGCUGAACUAUGGAAUAAAAAUUGUACAUCUGUCCUAUUUUAUAUUUGGAUGUAUUACGUUGCAGGAUACAAAGUAAGAGAUUGCUGAACAGCAGUUUCAAAAAAUUACCAUGAUCUAAAUGAAUAAAUACCUCUCAGAAGCUACAGCAUAAGUUUUUCAGUUUGCUGUACAUCUGCUGCUGCUAAAAUAACCUGCUGUGUGGGGUGGGUGAAGAACCGGACUAGUCCAACCAGCUGCGGGGCUGCCCAGGGUCAUAUUUGUGCUUCCAUUCCCACACCUCCAGCCAUGCCAACUGUGUAAUAUCAACAGAAAGAGAAAACAGAGUCAUCUCCUUUAACAAAGAGCACUGUUAGCUCUAGGAAAACUGUAAAUCAUGUCUUGAAUGGCCACCUAAAUAAUAGAAAUAAACAACUGGGGACAAAAUGGUUGUAUACACAUAAUAGUCCUCAAGUGACAAGUAAGGAAACAUUGAAAAAGUUUGUGAGGACUUGAUUCCAGUAAAAAAUCAUGUAAGUCAAGAUUUAUUUGUCCCACUUCCACAUCAAAAAUAACCCACCAACAAAGCAACAACAAAAAAAAGCCCUAGAAAUUCCCAGCACCACUAGUCCUUGUACCUACAACUGAUAAGACAUAAAAUGCAUCAUCUUCAUAAAGAGGAUUAACUGCAAAAGCUUGAGUCAUAUAGAAGAACAGUAUUAGCCAAUCAUCUUCAAAGACUAAGGAAAAAAGAGUUGAUUAUUAGAUAUUAUUUAUCUUUAAAGGAAUUGUCUUCUUUUUUUUUUUAUUUGGUGUCUCUUUAAGUCCUAUAACUUAAUUUUAUGCAUACCCAUACACUUCAGUUCUUCAGUGCUGUACAUCUAUCCUAAAAUCUUCUAAUUGAAAAUCAUCUAUUAAAUCCAUCCCUGAUAUCUACUGCAUAUGGCAGAGUUGUGGUAAGAUUUAAGUGAACACAGUCUAAUUUUUGUUUCUGAGGUAGCAAUUAAGGUGAACAUUGCUUCCAAAAACCUCUGAACAUCAAAACUAGCAAAACUAAGAGAACUAUAAGCAUUCAUUGAAAAUAUGACUCCUUCUUGUCUAGGGACCUUAAAGGAUACUGUAGUUAGAUGCAAACUGAAGACAGCCCAAUCAGGGGGAAAAGUUGUGAUUUUCUACCUAACCUUUCCACUUAAACUGUUUGGGAUUAAUUUCUUACAGGCAGUUCUGUUAAACAAAACUUGGUAAAUAUCUUCCCACUGAAAUGGUGAUUAUUACAACAAAACAAAUUGUAAGUCAGGGGCCUUUAACAAAUAGCAAAAACUUCUACCAAGUUCCUAAAGCGACUGGAGUCAUUAACAUUACAGUCAUGACCCUUGGCAAGAGAGCAACUAGGAACAAAGAAGAAUUAUUACUAAAAGAACAAUAAAGUGGUUUAGAUACAUCAAGAUCAAUCAGGCAUUAGUUUUAAUAUAGCCUAAAGUUAAAAGCUGUAAAAUAACAGAGAAUUUUCCCAUUUGCAUCAUUUAAAGUUCACAGCCCAAGGAAAAUGCCGCGUAUAAAGAAACCAGAGAGCCUUCUGUGAAUUGUGUGUCAAUUAUCUAAUUACCUUUGAUAAUAUCAGGUGCAAACCUUCAAGGAAAAAGCUUUAAAGAGCUCUUGCAGGUACCGGGGUAUUAGGAGAGUAAUAAGACUUGUUGCAGGGAGAAGAGAAAGGAGGAGAAACUGCAUCUUGCUUUGAAAUUAAUGUCCUGUCCCUGGCUGCAAGAAUGUGAGAGACAAGAGUUGCACAACAGUUACUGGAGCAUGUUAUCAACUCUAAAUACAGCUUCUCAGCUUGGGAAGAGAGACAGGGAGACUGGUUUCUACUUUGACUCUUACUUCCAGGCUGAGAUGCUGUCAUGUAUUCCUGCUAGUCAAGAAGGAAAGAAUCCAAGUCUGGCUCCUACCUCCUGCCUCCCUCCUUCUUCUGCAAUGUCUGUGGAUGGGGAAGAGUGAGAUACUGCUUUGAGAUCCUGCUGCCUGGGCAGCUCCUUGCAGAGGUAGCAGAGCUUCUCUGACAGAGGAAGUCAGCAACAAGAUCUCAGCCUACAGACAUAGCUCCACCUUAGGGCUUGCAUAGGGCAGCUGCCCUUGAACUCCAUCACAAAAGGCCUGUGCACCACCAGCUUGGUCAAUAGCUCUGAACAUUAGCUGCUCGGUGGUGGUGUUUGCAUCCAUGCUUCUCUGCCUGGUAAUUCCCUGCACCAGCUGGAGGAGUGUUGCCUGUCUGCAACUGAGAUAAUCUUCAACUAACCUAAAGACUGGACAACAUGCUGCCCCAGCCAGGUGGGAAGGAGAUGUGCCUGCACUCCUGGUCAGCACCAGUAUCUCUGAUUUUUGAAAGAAAAUUGUAGUGACUUCUUCAGCUGGAAGCCUUGGUGAGUAGAUGCAGAAGAGGGUGUCUGGUGGCAUGUUUGUAUUUGGAUGAUUGCUCUUCUGCCUAAGUGAUUUACAAGUGAUAUUCACCACUGUUUUAAUUAAACAUGCCUUCUGAUUUAGAAUUGGUAAGCCUCUACUUCAAGGAAACGCCAGGGUAAACUUUUAUUUUGGCAGGAGGAAGCAAAACUAGUAAGUAGGAUAGGGUCUCCUAACAGACAGAGAAGUGGGAAGAGUUCAGAAAGUGCAGCUAGGGGACACUAACCUCGGUAGUAGCGUCUUCAAACUAAUCCCUUUGCCACAGAGGUUGGCUCUGUAGCUACUGCCUGAACUAGAGGAGAUGUGCACUUUGUUUGGAUUACUUGGUUAUUGUCAUCUCCUCAGUGUUUCCCAGAACUCCAGUGGAGAGCAGGAAACCAGUCAUCGUUGGCUUCCUCCUGAUGUGCCUCCUUAGGCUAUCCCAUAUGCUUCAGGUGACCCAGGAGGGUCCAUGCAGGCACCACCAGCACAGGAGACUGCAAUCAGGAGCAGGAACUGCCAGCUCCUCAUCAAUCCCACAUUGCAACAGACCAUGUCAAAGAUUUAUAUAAAGCUGUUACAAGUACAUGUUUGGGGUUGGGGUUUUUUUAGCUGUUACACUUGGGGUCUUGUUUGUACCUCCUUCUUAGUGACCAGCUGAGCCUUCUCCAUGUUCAUUACAAGAAACCUGCAUUUGUGGCUCUUUAAGAAGGUUUGACCCCUGACUCCUCAAGGACUGGGACACACAACUGACAUGAGACCACACCAAGCAAAAAUAAGAUUCAGGAAAUGAUGCAAGUUUAAUUUCUGUUUGAAAUGUUCAGAAAUACGGCACCUUGGAAAAGGAGAUUUUCCAGACCUGAGACUGGUCUGAGUAUAUGACUACUCAUAUUUUGUCUGGCUCAAAAUACAGGUAAGUUUUUCUGAAAAGUAAUUUUAAAUAUAUAUAUAUUAAUUUUUAAAUGGAAAAACCAUGCUCAGAAUCAUUCAAUUUCUUCCCAUACUUAAAUGAAACGCCCACAUAACAGACCAUCCCAUCCACUCUUUUAAUGAGAUCUAAAUCUGUCAAGGAUUGUCAAAACUCAUCAGUGUGGAUAUUUUUAGGACUUGUAGGUGCAAAAGAACUUAAUUUUUUCUAGACAAAAGCAGUAUUAAUAAUACAACAUAGUUCAUAAACAUUGACUGGUACUCAUUAUCAGAAAGGGCAGCUGGAAAAAAAAUUAUUUUACAUUCCAAUCUUCAGGACAUUGGUAGAAUCCAGACCAGUACAAUAAAUAAUGAGCUUGCUUACUGUUGCUGUGUGGGAAAAGAGAAGAGGAGCUGGAGGUGAUACUGCAGGAAUAAAACAGACUAAGUAGGCAUGACAGGAGUAUGGGGGCUAAAUGUAAUGACAGGAACUUCAUAACACAUUCUUCAUAAAAGUGACAGGAAAAGCAAAGGAGGCGAACAGCACUCUGCCAAAAGCAUCUAUUCAAAUGCUGAAAUAGUGAAGGAUAAUUUUUGGUGGGACAUGCAUGGCUAAACUGCUGGCUUAAAAAAUGAGGGAUAAUUGAGAAUUACAGGAAGAAUGGUACUAAAGACUGGAGAUCAUGAGCACAAAACAGUGAAGAUUAAGCAAUCAUAGUCUAAGUUGCAAAAGCAUAUAUUAAGUACUCCCUAGAGGCACUUGUUUGAUUGAAGUACUUUUAAAACAAUCUCAAAAAUUUGGAAGAAUUUAAAAUCCUUUAUUUCAGUUCCUUUUUGUCAACUCUGAGAUUAAAUAUACACACACUGUAAAUAUUUAGGGCAUAACUUUAUAUUCAUCAUAAUGUAUGCCAAACCGUAACCUUUGGAUGAUUCCUAGCAGUGACCACCUCAUUAAUCCAGAAUCUCUCCUCAAAUCCUUCAGUGCUGCAGGUGAUGUCAGAAGGGAGCAUGAGCUUAAAAUAGAGUAAGGGAGAUCUGGUCAGGCAUCUUCAGCCACACAUGAGUUCCUACCUUCUCAGGUGAAAACUAGGGAAGGUGUGUCUUGGAUUCCACCAGGACAUGCCAAGACUCUGAUAUGCAGUACUAAUAAAUCUGCUGUAGGGCUAAGACACUGCACAAGAUUUCUGUAAGUGUCAAUGGCCAGCUCACCUUAGAUGCAAAGGAACAGUGCAGAAAACAGCAAAGGCUUUGUUCAGAGAUGACCAUCUAAAUGCAAGGUCAGGAUGGGAAAGGAGAUUACAUGGAGCUGGAAGGUUUCACUAGAGCAAAGGUGUUGCUUGUGUUUAGAGUAUUCUAUUUAGGAAGGCAAGUUACUUUCUGCCAGCUGGCAUUUUCCAGCACUUUCUUUAAUCAAAGCAUGACCAGGUUUGCUGUUACAUGAAGCCUAGAGUAUAUCAUGUAGGGAAAUACUGCACUUGAUGAAGUGCUGGUAGUUAUAUCUGGAAACAUCUAAGGAAAGUGUAACUGUUUGAGGUCUAGAACCCAUUUGUCAUGGUUUAACCCCAGCUGGCAGCUAAGCACCACACCACCCCUCACGCACUCACCCCCAGUAGGAUGUGGGCGAGAACUGGAAGGGCAAAAGUACAAAAAGUUUUGGGUUGAAAUAAAGAUAUUUAAAUAAGUAAAGGAAAAGCCAUGCACACAAGCAAAGGAAAAGAAGAAACUCAUUCAUUCCUUCCCAUAGGCAGGUGCGGGUUCAGCCAUCUCCAAGAAAUCUGGGCUUCAUCACACCUAAUGAUGACUUGGGAAGACAAACAUCACUCCAAAUGUCCCCCUCCAUUCCUUCUUCUUCUUCUUUCACUUUAUAUACUGACCAUGGUGCCCUAUGGUCUGGAACAUCCCCUGGGUCAGUGGGGGACAGCUGUCCCAGCUGUGUCCUCUCCAAAUUCCUCAUGUACCCCCAGCCUCCUGUCUGGCAGGACAGGGUGAGGAGCAGAAAAGGCCUUGAUUCUGGGCAAGCCCUGUGCAUCAACAACCAAAACAUCCUGGUGUUAUCCUUUCCAGCCCAAAACCAAAAUGUGGUCCCAUACCAACUACUCUGAAGAUAAACUCCACCCCAGCCAAAACCAGCACACCAUUGCUAAUUUCAAAGAUUUAAUUUCAAACCUAUUUACACGACAAAA